rnacentral:rRNA from 1 species
CCCUUAGAUGUUCUGGGCCGCACGCGCGCUACACUGAUGCAUUCAACGAGCCUAGCCUUGACCGAGAGGUCCGGGUAAUCUUUGAAACUGCAUCGUGAUGGGGCUAGAUUAUUGCAAUUAUUAAUCUUCAACGAGGAAUGCCUAGUAAGCGUGAUUCAUCAAAUCGCGUUGAUUACGUCCCUGCCCUUUGUACACACCGCCCGUCGCUCCUACCGAUUGAGUGUGUUGGUGAGGAGUUUGGAUUGGCCUCGGGAGGUGGUUCGCCACCGUCCGUAGCUGAGAAGUUCUCCAAACCGCCCCACUUAGAGGAAGGAGAAGUCGUAACA